UACGGAGGGUGCAAGCGUUAUCCGGAUUUACUGGGUUUAAAGGGUGUGUAGGCGGACUUUUAAGUCAGCGGUGAAAUCUCCGGGCUUAACCCGGAAAUUGCCGUUGAUACUAUAUAUCUUGAAUGCUGUGGAGGUAAGCAGAAUAUGUCAUGUAGCGGUGAAAUGCUUAGAUAUGACAUAGAAUACCUAUUGCGAAGGCAGCUUACUACGCAGAUAUUGACGCUCAUGCACGAAAGCAUGGGGAUCAAACAGG
rnacentral:rRNA from 1 species